ensembl:lncRNA
GUUCAUGGGUCUCCUAAGAAAAUAUUCCCUAGAGGCACACUUCCCUGAAGAAUAAUUUACCUUGGAGAUAUGUGCAGUGAUGUAUUUUUCAUCCUUGCCAACAGCAGACAGAGUCUAGUUAUACCAACCGCUCAAAUUAUUUUAUAGAGAAAAUAUAGGUGAUUGUUAGUAGAAUAUAUAGAGGACAGUUGCAUAGUGUGUACAACAUCCAAAUCUUGAUAAACUCAACUUACUUCCUUAAUGCUACUGAAAAAAAAAUAUAAGGUAUUUCAGUACCAACACUCUGCCCUUAGACAUCCUUAAUUAUUUGAAUACUUUAACGCUGAGGCCUUCUCAUUCUUAUCUUUUUAGGUGAAAAAUUCUCUGAAAGCCUGAAGAAAAAACUGCAACCUUUGACCAUCUUACUUGUUUGAUAUUAUGGCCCUUUCCAUGGCAACAGAUUGUGAUGUCAUGCAUGGACAGAUUAUGAGGUCAAAAAUUGCCCAGGAUGGAGCCAGGGGAGGAUGUAGGAAAGAUUCUGGAACUACGUAAAUAUAUUUCAAAGUAUUCAAAAGAAGUGGAAAACACACUUACAUUAAAGGUAUCAAAAGCAUCAAACCACAAGGAAGGUGCUUAUCAUAAACUCAGAUUACAAAUGGCAAAAUCAAGGCACAGGAUAUUUUUUCUGCUUUGCACAGGAAAAAAUGCUUUCAACAAUUUGAAAAUAAACUUCCAUGUGUAUAGCAAACCAAGACUCUGUUCUACCCAUUUACAGAAGGAGAUAUUAAUACAAAUGAAGAGUGAAUCUGAAUGAAGAGACCUUGCAAUGAGGCCAUCUCAAGGCUAUCAAGACCACAAUGCAGUUUCUCAAAUUCCCUGAAGCAGAAAUGCUGCCUACUUCUCUGCAUUUUUCCUUUGUGUAAGGGUCUUAUGCCUGUCACUUGCUAAGGUGAAGAAGAGUCUGUGAACUAACAUCAGAUUCCACCUCUGACCUUUUUUCCAGGGUUUUCUUGUCUCCAAAUCUACCACUGUGGCAGAAAGUCCUAAUGCUACUCCCAGUCAUCUUCAUGUACACCAUACUCUCUUGGAAAUUUGAUUCACAGAAAUGAUAAGAUACGCUGGUGUCUUUACCAGGAGGAUCUUCCAACAGAGCAACAUAGAUGAAUAGAGCCAGCAUGGGGGACAGUACUGACAAAGCACUUACUUUGUCUCCAUAUUGGAUGCUGAGGCAUCUAGUAUUUCUAAUUUAGCAUUUUUGCCAGGAACUUUGAAUCCAAACUCCACUUUCAACAUAUACAUGUAAAUAAUUGUCAGGUUAUAUUCAUGAAAACAAGACCAAAACUUAGACCACAGAUUUUCCAGGGAAAAAUGAGUGCUGCAUUUCUGGCAAUUAGGAGCAGUAAAGUAAACAUUUAGUCACCAUUGACUCAUGAGCCGAAAAACACAGUAGUCAAUUACAG